rnacentral:lncRNA from 1 species
AUGCUGAGAAUCAGAGGGCAGACUCAUACUAGAAGUGGUGUAAGUCCGAUGCUUUAUCCAUCCAUCGAUUAUUGUAUCAGAUUCAAGAGGUCACCAUCUACAGAAUGUUUUCUUCAAAUACUAUGUCUCUGGGACCCCAAAUCAUGCCAAGAGUACCCUCUCUCUCCUUCUACUUCUCUACACUGGCAUGCACUAAGAGACCUAUAAGUAAGGAACAUCAUUAUUCAUGAUUUAGUACAUUAAAUCUAUGAAACUAAUGAUCUGCCAUUGAUUUUCUUUUUUUUUUCCUGGAAUCUGGAGUUUCUCAUUAUUUCAAGCUCUCAUAAAAUUAGAAUAAUUUUUUCUGUUAUUUUAAACUUCCCUCGCUAUGUAUUUUUAUCUAAUCCUUUGUAUCUAUUCCUUAAUCUUCAAUCAUCAUUUGAUCAAAUUUAAAUUGCUGGCAUCCCAUGAGUACAUGUAGGGAAGGGGCCUCCCAAAAGCUUUCCAUGGUAAAGUACUGUACAAUUGUCUUUGCAACAUUAAAUAUACAUUUAGGUUAUUCAAAUACUAGUUCACUCACCGUGGCAAAAAUCAGCCAAAACUAAUUGGCUAUUGGUUAUUUUAUUCUGUGCAUUCAUUUUUUUCAACAACCCUUUUCACAGUCGUUAUUCUUUAAAUGUUGAAAGGAUUAGACAUGAUUAUAUUUUAGCACAUUGUUAGUCAUGGUUUAAUGUAUAAUUUUAUUUUCAAAGUGAAUAUAUUAUAUGGCAGGGGUAGUGAAGUAAGAUAAGAAUGAAAAGGUAGCUUGACUCCUGUAUUUAUUCAAGUAAGUCUAAAACAUUCCAUAAGGCAUGGUAGAAAAAUAUAGACAAAUAUGCAACAAUUUACAAAGAAGCUUAAAUGUUACACUAGAGAGCUUACACACACACACACACACACACACACACACACAGAUAUUUCUUUGGAUGAAAAUUUCCCUUUCUAGUCCAUUCUGUUAACCUGCUGUCUGUAGUUUAACAAAACCAGCAGAGCUAGUAGGAAGUGGUAAAGAAUGCCAACACAGACUUUGAAAUCUCUGAGUAAUGUUUUGAGAAAUAGGACUGCCUCCUCUUAGAAGCAAUUGCUGCUGUGCUUAGAGAUAUAUUCUAUUACAAUAUGCCCUGAAUUUGAACUUUAUAAUGUCUAUUUUAAACAGAAAACGUACUGGAAUCACUUGGGCAUGUUCUUUAAACAAUGUAAUAAGGUAAUUCUAAUAUGUAAUUGUUUUGGGGUAGGAAAAUGUUUUUUUUUUUUUUCUUUCUCAGUAAACCAAAUCUUCAGGAAGCUUAAAUAGUUGGACCACAAGGCUAUAAUGAAGUCACCUCUAUCCCCAUCUGUUGACCAGUAAAGCACAUAGGAGGAAAUGAACUAACCUCCUCUAAGCCAGUUUUUGAAAAUCUAAACUUGUCAUGUGAUGGAAAAUGCCACACUCUGCCUUGAGGUUAUCAGGGUGCAUCAGUUUGCAGACAUGGUUUUAUUAAAAAUUAGGAGGCCAAAUGAUGUAUUUUGUUAUCAUAUCUAAACAUCCUGGCUGCUACUCUAUAUCAGAUUCCCAUGAAAGUACAGAAAACUAAAUGAUAGAUAACUAUGGGGCUUAUUUUAUUUUCAACAGAAAAAUUCAAUUUUUGAGAAAUACAUUUGAGGAAGUUGGUCUUGACAAAUAUACAAAUUAAAGAUAGAAAAUAAGCAAUAUAUGUGGUAAUUUAAUUUAUUACUUUGCAAGGUACCUCUGAUACAUUUCAAGGAAAGGAAAUUAUCUUAAUAUGUAUAAUGUGAUGUCAGGCUGGUUCUUAUCUGAUUUUGGUAAAGCCUAAAGAGACCAAGGGAAAACAAAGGCUAAAAUUAUAUGGAUUAGGAAUAGAACUACAAAAAGUAUUAAAGGGUAAGCUGCAUAUUUGAUUAGUUUCAUCUUUCUUAAUUAUUUGAGUAUUCAUGAAGAUAUAUAAUUUCUAGGAGUGAAAUUCUAGAGCUUUAUAUUUUCUAUGUAUUGAAGAGUUAGUGCCAUAUAUUAUUAUUAUCUUUAUCUCUAUUAACCUCUGGCUCACUGCGUACAUUUUUGGCAAUAUUACCAAUUCAAAUUACUUAAAUUGCAUUAUUUCUGAGGAGAAGUCAUGAUUUCAGUUUCCCUUGAUAUAUUUCCCUCUUAAGUAGCUUUAGUAAAUCUAUGUUUAAGUUCACAAAAUUUGUUUUAAACCAUGAGGAUAUAGACUCCCAUCAAUUUCUACACUUCUUGGGCACAGAAGCUUUUCCUUAUUGGUUUAAGAGUCUUCCCUGAUUUCUGGGCAUGGAACUAGGAUCUUAGGAGAUUUGAGGCCUAUAAAACUGUGUGUUAAUGAAAUAAUUGUGUCUCAUCACAGUAAACAGGUAUUGUCUUUGUCUGGUUGGGCUCAUGGAUGUUCUGGAUGGCCAUUCAGUUGGCUAUUGGACCAGAUUUGAGGCCGGGUCUACAUACUCAAAAUGGAAAGAGAAAAAGGAUUCAGAUCAUAGGUACAAAACUGUCCACACAGAGUAUGUUCUGUUUAGAAUGGAAGUUUCGUGGAGAGGAAAAUUUGUGUAGUUCAACUUUGAAUUCUUAAUUCCUAAGAUAAUUGAUGACACAUGGAAAGCAAGUAGUAAAUGUUUCAGGAGUGAAUUACAGCAUGAUUAGUUGAAUUAAUUAAUUUACUGAUUUAUAAACUGAUCAAUGCCACAGAACACAAAGAAGUCAAAUGUCUUAUUUGUUCAUGCUUUUCUAUUAGCAUUUUCUUACCCUGGUCUUAUAUUUCCCUUGAUCCUCCUACUUUGUGAAUUUAUUUAGUUAUUACUAUUCACUUUUUACAAAUGGUAAAAACUGAGGUUGAGGGAUAGGAAUUGAGCUAUACCCAUGGAGAGACAACAAGUAAGCAGAUAAAAGUGCAAUAUUCUGU